UUCGGCUGUUCAAUCAAAAUCUUCAAUUUCUUCAUAUCAAAUUCAAAUCCUUGCACAGAACUCAACCUCCCACUAUUCACUUGUGCAAACUCAACUCAUGACUCCAAGAUUGUUUAGCAUGAUUCUGUGUAAACCCACUCCAAGUACCCGAUCUUUAGAUUCUUUAGCACGAUUCACUUGUGCAAACGCAUUCCAUGAUUUUAUUUAGCACCAUUAUGUGCGAAUCCUUGCAUCCUCUAUUCUUCGUCAUGACCCGCUCCACGAACCCCUUCGGCAGCAUCUCCACCGUCUCCCUAAUCCGACUCCGACAGUUUCCUCAAGACCCAAAAGAGGCAGUUCGAACUCCUCCUGAUUCUUCUCAGCAUCAAUCCGUUUUUUGUUCUUGUUUUUUCCCUAAUUUGGUUUUGCCCUUAUUGCCUGGAUUCAUUGUUUAUGUUUUAGUUCCACAAGCACACCGUAUGUUUGAUAAAAUGCCUACACCUGGAUUCAUUUUGAAUACAUUGAUUUUAGUUAUUCUCGUGUGUAUAUAUAUAGAUAUCUACGCUCGCACAAGGACGACAUUUAUGGAUUGCUUGCUGCUUUUUUGAUUUUUAGCUCUCCAAUCAUCGCACGGUUCUUGGCAUGCAUAAGUCAUAGAGGAAGAAAGACACUUGGAGCUAAAUUUUCAUAUUGUAUUAAUUUUUAAUCUUUUUUAUUUUAGGAUUUAAUGUUGAUAUCAUUAUAUGUAUUGGUAGUCUCUAUGAGUCGCAUUCAAAAUAGUUAGAGAUUAUGGAGAUUGUGAUUGACAUUAGUUUUAUUUUAUGUGAUUAAUUGAAUGUUUUUGAAGUUA